rnacentral:lncRNA from 1 species
UUUAUUUAUGUGAGAGAGAGACAGACAGGGAGGGAGGGAGGGAGAGAGAAAGCUAGAGCAUGCACAGCAGCAGGAGGGGCUGCAGGCAAAAGGAGAGCGAGAAGCAGACUUCCCGCUCAGCAGGGAGCCCGAUGCAGGACUCCAUCCCAGGACCUUGGAAUCAUGACCUGAGCUGAAGGCAGAUGCUUAAUCAAAUGAGCCACUCAGGCGCCCCUUGAUGCAGGUAUUUCUUCUAGAACAUUUGAAGAUCCUUAAAAACUACAGCCCUAAAAAGACAGGGCUUGUGGGGGGAAAAAUUGGGAUCCAAGAACCCACAGGACUUUGUCACCAGGAUUCUUGCAAGAUCCAUGAUAAUCCUCCUAAAAACAUGAACCCGGCUAAAUCUUCCUGGGCCUAGUCAUGCAUCUCAGCUAUCAGUGCUGUGCAACUUUUUCCCUGGGUUUGUGCUUCCUCCUUGCAGAGGGAAGUCCUUGAGGACACUCACUUCUAAAAGAGACUAGAGCCGUCAAACUUAAAAAUAUGCGUCAGGGACCCCCUUCUUCAUCAAUCGUGUGUUUUCUCCUCUCCAGCACAGGAGGGCCUAUCCUCACAGAGUUUUCAUCUACAGUUGUCACUCCCCAAACACAGCAGGAACCAAAGUGGUCCUUGAAGUCACGAAAUCAGCCACUACUUGCACCAAAAGGAGGCACUUCCACACUAUUCUUGGCUUCUUUCUGAAGGUCUUCAUAUCCUGCUGAGGCCUUCUGAUUCCUUGUGAGAUCAAUGCAGAAUGUGAACACGUUAGGGAAAGUCUCACUCUGUUCCUGCCAAUGAGACCCGCGCAUCCUAUGGGCCUCAUGCCUUGCUGUGGAGUUGCCCAUCAGCUCCUUGGAUUUAAAAAUUUUUUUCGGGCAGCCUUGGUGGUACAGCAGUUUAAUGCCGCCUGCAGCCCGGGGUAUGAUCCUGGAGACCCGGGAUGGAGUCCCAUGUUGGGCUCCCUGCAUGGCGCCUGCUUCUCCCUCUGUCUCUGUCUCUACCUCUCUCUCUUUCUCUCUGUGUCUCUAUGAAUAAAUAAAUAAAAUCUUAAAAAUAAAUAAAUAAAUAAAAAUAAAAAUUUUUUUCUUCCUAUCGAUUGAUCGGUAAAAUUCACAUAACAUAAACCUGACCAUUUUAACCAUCUUUAAGUGGACAGCUCAGCGGUGUUAAAUAUUUUACUGCAAUAAAAAAAAAAGUAAGUCCGCUAAAAACAGAUUUAACCAAAAGAUUAAAAAAAAAAAAACAAGAUCAGAAGAUAAUCAUAAAUUACUUUUACCACCGUCCUCCUCCUAUUUUUCCUCUUGUCUUUUCUCGAGUUAGCACUAUGCAGAGCAGAUCAGCAGCAGUGGCUGGCCUUAUCCGCAACAGCUUAGGCCACGGUCUGGGGAAGAGCCUUAUGAUCAUCAUUGUAUGUUAUACUCCAGAAGCCUGAAGGGUUCUGAGAUAAAAACAUAUAGUAAAUGUUUCUCAUUCUUUCCAAGCAUGUGUUUUAGGAGGAAAUAAGAGAGAAACUGAAUGCCUCAACCAGUAUGCAAGUGGAACCUUCUAGAGUCAAUAUAGGCCAAAGGUGGCUAUCUGAUGAUCCAGGUCCAAAUCAUGGCUGUGCGGCCUUGAGCAAGGGGUUAAAACUUUUUAGGCCUCAGUGUGCAAGCUAUAAAGUGAGGAUAAUGUGACAAGUAAAUGGGUUAAUAUAGUUACUGCAUUUCCAACAGCAUAAGACACACAAAAGUCAUCACUAAAUAUUAUCUGUUAUCAUUGAAAGGCCAAGACCCACCAACCCAAAUACUUCAGGUGGAAAGCUCAGUAAUGAGGCAUUUUUAUUUUGUGUAGUUGAACUUCAAACUGGCUUAUUCUUAGAAUUCAUAAAAAUACCUUAAAAACCGUAAGGACACGAAUAAUUGUUCUUUCAGUGACGAAAAUAAAUACUCUUUUUUAGCUUAAAAAAAGGCUCAUUGUUAUUCUUGGUAGUCAAUGGCACAAGGGUUGUUAUUAGGAUGGAAAAAAAAAAUCUUGACAGCUUUGACUUAACUCCUACACUCAGAGGAUGUCAUUUAAUUUAAAAGUGCAAACACACACAAAGGCAAGAGAAGAAAUGCCUGUUUAAAACCAUCCCCUCUUCAAAACUUGCAGAUGGAUCCCGCUACAUAAUAUUUUUAGAGUUUAUUUAUAAACUUAGAUACUUUAGACACGUUUUGUGUAAAACUUAAUGUUUAAACUCUGAAAACUUUUUUCUUGAAUUCUAGAAAAAUAAAAGAUUCCAGUGUCUCCUCUAUCAAUGAUGUUAAACGCACAAUAGACACAUAAAUAAUAAACUAGGGCGCAGCGGGGGUGGGGACCACCUUCAGAAGAACCCCUAGGGAGCUGCCAGGACCACAGUGAUGGGCACCAGGCUGCCACAAACACCGCCUCACACCAGACACAGUGCCCAGGGCAGGGAGGCUGUGACAUCAAACUUCCGGUGGGUGUCAAGAAAAUGACUGAAGAAGGACAUUACCACAGAAAUUUCAGAGCAAUUGGGAAAUCUUCCAUUCCUGGCCAGGAAACCCUCUGCCACGUCAAGGCAGGGAGCAGGGGCGACAUGAGACGGAUGAGAACCUUCCACUGUCAGGAAGACCUUGGGCGAUGAAGACAGCCAGUCACUACCAAAAAUGGGACUAAAACCCAGGAUGGGCUUCCCUGCCCAAUAAAACAGUACGCCCCUCAGACCAGUAGUUCACUAAUGUGAAGGCCAAGUUGGAGGAAGGCAUCAGGAGCUCUCUGCACGCAAAUGCUGCACAUGCCUGUGCGCCUCAUGACCAAGUGUGCAGCUGAAAACAGACGGUGGUAGGGUGGGCCCUGCCAGCGACCACCGGAGCACUCUCAAUGCCCGCCACCUGAUGGGGAGCAACACAGCCUGAGUAGCUCCCAGGCUGACAGGUGCUGAGUCUGUUGUUUAUUCUCGGCCAGCGCUAUGUUGGUACUGAGACACUAAAUGUACAAACAAGCAGUGGCCAGAGAAUAUGCAGAUACAGAACUCUGAGUGCAACCUGGCCGGGAAGCCAAGUGCUAUCUACAGUAACCAGCCCAGGAAGCCAGCCUGCUAUCUCAUGCCUGCAGGAAGUCAGGCCACCACCACUGGCAAGAAUCCAAAAUGCCAACCAACAACCUUGGUAACAAUCAGCCCCAAAUGGCCAGGACUUGAGUAAAAAUGGAUAACGUCCCUAAUUUCCAACACCCCCCCACUACUAACUUAGGAACUACUAGAGAAAGCCGAGCAUAUGCCCUUAACCGAUCACAGAUGCUCCUCGUUCUUGAGCCCACCUCCAACUUCCCCAUGCCGACAGUCUCCAGUCAGGGCACACUGGGGGCCUCUCCCCUUCCACUGUACAGCUUCACCUCUCCUCUGCUUGCCUCUGAGCCUCCGCCAAAACGCAAGAGAUGAUGGCCGACUCCCUCGCUACACUCAGCUCUGCAUAAAUAGCCUUUACUGGUUCUCUUCUGGCUGGCCUUCAUUUAUUUCCACAGUCCUGUGUUGCUCAUGCCUUCCUCAUCCUUGCCUCUAUCUCCUUCCUGAGCUAGAGAGGUCUGAAGAAAAUUACCUUUGGGGACGCCUGUGUGGCCCAGUGGUUGAGCAUCUGCCUUUGGCCCAGGGCAUGAUUCUGGGGUCCCGGGAUCGAGUCCCACAUCAGGCUCCCUGCAUGGAGCCUGCUUCUCCCUCUGCCUGUGUCUCUGCACUCUCUCUCUCUCUCUCUCUGUCUCUCUCUCAUAAAUAAAUAAAAUCUUUAGAAAAUUAUCUUUGUUGAAAGAAUCAACCACUGCUCUGGGAAAAGGUAGACCUACACAAGACCAAUGUGCACAAUUACAUUGUGCAUUUACAAUUACAAAGCAUUCUUCUUACUUUCAAUUAGCAUACAUGACUUGCCUGGACAGCAUCAAUAGUGAAUACUCACUGAUCUGGAUCUGGAACAGCCGAAAGUUCCCCUAUACUCAUCAAUCUAACAGCUCAAUGGAGAGGCAAUAUAUUAUUAAGGAUUGUUUCAAAAGGCACCCUCAGCCCAUGCAUGUCAGUCUUAUACCCUACACCUUCUACGCCUGUAGAGCCAAAGGGGAAUUAUGUGGAAAUCACUUCAUAAUCACAGGAUCCUCUGCAUGGCUGGGAGAAAAGAAACGUGAACUUUUCGGUAGAGUUUAUGUAUCCCUAUGUAUGCAUCCUUAUGUUUAUGUAUCCUUCUCAUUUUCUGAAAAUUGGUGCUCUGAGUAUGAAAUACAUGGUUAAGGAGAAUCAUCCAAAUGGUGGCUGCUCUGAGCUCCUGAGUCCCAAACAUCCCAGGCAAAAGGCCCUGCGGCCCCUCUAAGCACCAGCUCCCUCCCCUGGCAUCCGGCCCUCAGUGGCAUCCGGCACAUGGGGGUGUGCGGGGCACAGGGGGCACACAAGGCCUGGAAUUCCUUAGUUCUAGUAUGGGAUGUCACCCAGCAUCUUCUCAUCUUUUAAUCCCUCUGAACGAUUCACUUACAGGUGAAGUCCUGAGCAGGCUUCCUUCAUACAUAAGUCCUUUUCAAAACCUCACUUACUUCCCUUAUAAAGAGAUCCUUCAGUC